rnacentral:lncRNA from 10 species
CGUCCCCUUCCACACCGUGGAAGGUUUGUUCUUUCGCUCUUUUCAAUAAAUCUUGCUACCGCUCACUCUUUGGGUCCAGACUGCCUUUAUGAACUGUAACACUCACCUCCAAGGUCUGCAGCUUCACUCCUGAAGCCAGUGAGACCACGAGCCCACCAGGAGGAACGAACAACUCCAGACGCGCCGCCUUAAGAGCUGUAACACUCACUGCUAAGGUCUACAGCUUCAUUCCUGAGCCAGCGAGACCACGAACCCACCAGAAGGAAGAAACUCUGAACACAUCCAAACAUCAGAAGGAAUAAACUCCGGACAUGCCGCCUUUAAGAACUGUAACACUCACCGUGUUAAGAACUGUAACACUCACCGUGAGGGUCUGCGGCAUCAUUCUUGAAAAUCAAGUUAAAGUUUUGUUCUGAAAUUUCAAGGCCUUUCACACCAAUUUGAUACGGUUUGGAUUUGUGUCCCUGCUGGAAUGUAAAGUUGAACUGUAAUCCCGGAUGCUGGAUGAGGGACCUGCUGGGAGGUGAUUGCAUCAUGGGGGCAUAUUUCCCCCUUGCUGUUCUCAUGAUGACACAAAUGAACAGCAGAACUCUUGCUCCCAUGAAUUGGCAAGUAUAGUCAGAAGUCUCCCCACUGUGGAUGGGAGACAGAAAAGAAAGAAAGAGCCUGAAUUACUGAGGGGUCUUCCACUGAUGCCUGCAUAUUUGAAGCUGAAGAAACAGUCACCUCUUUUAGACUUAAGGACAAUUUUGGUGGAUAAAGGCCUUUAACUUCAGGUGGGAUGAGGCCACCAACGAGAUGAAAUGUGGCACUUACAGCUCU